AGAAUCAACGCUGGCGGCGUGCCUAACACAUGCAAGUCGAACGAGAAAGUGGAGCAAUCCAUUAGUAAGGUGGCGCACGGGUGAGUAACACGUGACUAACCUACCCUUGAGUGGGGGAUAACCUAGAGAAAUCUGGGCUAAUACCGCAUAAUACCUUCGGGUCAAAGGAGCAAUUCGCUUAAGGAGGGGGUCGCGGCCGAUUAGUUAGUUGGCGGGGUAAUGGCCCACCAAGACUAUGAUCGGUA
rnacentral:rRNA from 1 species